AUGUGUGGACUGCAAAUGGUAAACUGAAACGCGAGCUGUUUGUUUAUCAUUGAAACCCGGGGUUUCCUUUAGGGGUCGAUCUCAUGUGACCGGCCGCGAGCCGUAGCAGGAGUCUCUUGCUGAGAUCAUGGCAAAAGCUUUCCCUGUGCCUGACUGCGUAUUUUUAGCGCACGGAUUCCCUUUCCACCAGUGUGAGAUUAUUUUAUUACAGUAUUUUUUCUUUGGUUUUGACAUCUAUAUUUAUAAUGCCUACAUUUCAUAUUCGCACAGAGAAAAUUAUAUUUUCAAGACACUGAGAAUUUUAAAGCUAGUUAUGAGACACAUGUAAAGUUCGUUAAACGCUUUAUUGGUCUCUUGAGUAUUGAUUGCAAUUUAGUGAUUUUCCCUUCAAUUUUGAUUUGUUUAUUCGGUAAUUACAACUGCUAUUCAUCAGUACAUUACAUCACAAUAACUGAUUGCAAUAUGUUUCAGUGUUGUAGUUUCUUCCCUCCUCCCAAAAUCAAUAUUUGAUAGUGUUACACACACAUUUUAACAGAUGGGCCUAUUUUUUUUAUUUGGCACAUUUGUAUACUGCCCAAAACUGACACCUCUGGGCAGUUUUAACGAAGCAUUAGAGAACAUUGAGCAUCUGGAGGUCAUGUAACUCAACACCUGUGACAUUUUUAGCCAAGUUCUAUACUAAGUAAAACCUACAAAAUUCAUCUGAACUUGUCCCCAGGACAUAUUAUAUACGCUUUUGCCAAACCAUGUGGGAACGAAUUAUACUGCCAGAAGAAAGCUGAAGUGGUUCUCCAAGGAACUGGGAAGAAAAAUGAAGGCACUGACCCGUGGAAGGACAAGAUACGUGCAGAAAACACAAGAUUCUGCAAAUAAACAGCUGGCUAUGAAGAUAGCAUCACUGAGAAAGGACUGGAUUCUUGGACCAUGGCCUAUGCUACCUACAUGAAGAUUGUCUGGAACUAGACAGGAUGCACCUCACAAGGGCUGGAAUAAAGUGUUUGGCAGGAGCCUCGCAAACCUUGUCAGAACCCAAUGGAGAAUGAAGACAAAUGUCCAGUAUCAGCAACAAAGUUCUCCACUUUGCUCCUCAAAUAGUUAUACCCAUAGACUAUCAUCUCCACUCCAAGGUCUAUACACUAAUGCACAGAAUACAGGAAACAAACAGGACGAACUUAAAAUCCUAACGCAGGACCGGAGGGCAAAUAUCUGGUGGUCGCUAUCACUGACACUUGGUGGGGUGAGACUCGUGAUUGGAAUAUAGUACCUGAAGGAUAUAACAAGUUCAGAAGGACUAGACCCAAGAGAAAUUGAAGGAGUUACAUUAUAUAUAAAUAAUGUAUACAUCUGCACAGAAAUCCAUUAAUUUGAGCAUGUAAGUGUAUGGAUAAAAGUAGAAUUUACUAUAGACCACAUGGGCAAGUAGAAGACAUGGAUGAUGCUUUCCUUUGACUGAUUACCCAGUUUUCAAAGAAGCAGGCAUUAGUAGUAAUGAGAGAUUCAACUAUCCUGCCAUCUGCUGGAAGUCUAACUAUGCUAAGUCUGGGAGGUCCAAUAAGUUAUUCAUCUACCUUGCUGACAACUUCAUCUUUCAGAAGGUAGAAGAAGGAACAAGGGUGUUGGCUACCCUAGACUUGUCUUCUCCAGUGCUGGCAUGAGUGUUGGCACUAUUCCAGGCAACAUCAAGACAUUGCCAGCCAGGCCCUCUGAUGCUGACACAUUGGUGUCAGGGACAGGCCAUCCUGCUUCCCUCACAAGUGCUGCCCUUCUCUAUUUCCUGGAGUGCAAGGGUAACCCUGCGUUUAUAUAACCCUCUGUUGGGUGGGGAGGGGAGUUAAUUACUUUUAGUCUAGCUGAGUUGCCGUAGAAGAGUUUGUGAGAACAAAGUUUUGUUUUGUUUUCAGAGAGAGUAAGAGACUUGGUUAGACCAGGCCUUGCUCAACUUAGGCCCUCCCAGCUGUUCUUGGACUACAACUCCCAUAAUCCCCAGCCACAGUGGACAAUAGCCAGGGAUUAUGGGAUUUGUAGGCCAACAUCUGCAAGAGGGCCGAAGCCUGGUAGACUAAGGAGAGUUCGUGACAACAGGAGGAAGAACAGAAACUGAACUAUAGACAAGGCGAACCUAAUAACAGCUUCCUGCUCUACCGUGUCACUCAGCUGUGGAAUCAGCAUCACAAGCCAGAGAGACUAAGGAACACUAAAGCCUCAUAACUGAAGAAAAACUUGGGACCGUCUGUUCGAUUGUUCCAAUCAGGAUAACAAAGAAAUAUGUGAGACUUCUGUAGUCCGUUUUGUUUGACUGUCCUGAAUAGGGAAUUGGAUUUCUUAUCUUCUAUCUAUCUAUUUAAUUCGCUAAGACAUACCUGUGGCUAAUCCCAUGCAUGGCAGCUCUUGCAAGAUUUUGCGAGUGAGGGGAGCAGGAGAGGAAGGUGAGCAGCCGCUGGCCGGCGAAAGGAAGCGGUGGUGCCAGCCACUGGGAGAAAGUGCUGAGCGGCGAGAGGAAGCACCACCCGGUGAGAGGAAGCAGCAGCCUGGCCACCCGGCGUGAGGAAGAGGUGGCUGCCGGGUGGCAAGAGGAAGUGCCGUCUGGUAAGAUGAGGAAGCGCCAGCAGCCAGCUGCCGAGAGGAAGUGGCAGCCGGGGCUGAAGGGAUGGGGGGAGAGACAGGGAGAACUAGGGGCGUAUAUGCUCUGUGCCAGGUCAGCUAGUUUAAAUUAUUAUUUAAAUACAUAUGUGUGUUAAAAAUUGUUUAAAGGGGGUAUCUAUUCAAGUUGAUUAAUUUCUUUAAGUUAUUAAUAAUUACAUUUGCCUUCAUAUGCAAUUUCAGUAUUGGUCUCUGGAGUCUGAACUCUGGGGAAAGUAGGGAAAGGUUACACAAUCACUUUGCUUAGCUGUCUGGAUCUUUUUCUCUCACUCGCUUCCUUCACAGGGAAAGAGAGUGAGAAAGAAAAUUAUCUAGGCAGCUAGCAACGUGCUUGCAAGUCGGGAGAUGGGAGAGGGUGGCACCUGCAAGGGAGGCAGGCUGGCUUCACCCCCUAACACCUACUUGUCCCUCACACAGGGUGCCUUUCCUCACCUCCCAGCUUGAAAGUGCUUUGCUAACUACCUGGAAUACUUUCUUUCUCUUUCCCUCUUGCUCCACACACAAGGUGUGGAGGAAAGAGAGGGAGAAAUUGAAAGCAGUCCAAGCAGCUAUAAUAAAGAUAUUGAAGGCACAAUCACAAACAAUUCCCAUGAGAAGGAAAAAUGAGAGACAUCUCGAUAAACUAGCGUGGAUGCAUAGAGAACUCUCUGAAUAGCAGAGAAGCAAACGUAUAGAGGAAUGGCCUGAACCUGUAGGAAGGUGUCAGGAAAGCUAAGGCUCAAGACAAGCUGAGGUUUGUGGGGGAUGGCAGAAACAACAAAAACAGUUUUACAGAGAUGUCCACAAGAGGACGGUCAAGGAAACGGUAAGUCUGUUGCGUGGAAAAGAUGGUGAAAUGGUAACCGGUGACAGAGUGGAGGCAUUGCUGAUUUAUUUAUUUAUUUAUUUAUUAGAUUUCUAUACCACCCUUCCAAAAUGGCUCAGGGAGGUUUACAGCACUGUAAAAACAAUUAAAAGAAAUUAACAGUUAAAAUCAAACUAUAAAAAACAGAAUAAAACCAAUUCAACAAUUCAAACGGCUAACAAACCCUGUUUUUCAAGGCAAAGGUGGCCCAGCCUAGGAACAGAUGCAGAAAUUAAGAAAGGAAAGGAAAGCUCCUCAAGAUAAGUAAAGAGAUAGUAAGAGAACACCUAGCUACCUUAAAUGAGUUUAAGUCUCCAGGCCCAAAUUGAUUACAUCCCUGAAUACUGAAGGAACUUGCAGAUAUGAUAUCAGAACCACUGACUGUGACCUUGAGAAUUCCUGGAGAACAGGUGAGGUGCUGGAGGUCUGGAGACAAGUGAAUGUUGUUUUUUCCAAAAAGGAGGAGCUGAGAAACUACAGACCUGUCAGCUUGAUGUCAAUACUUGUCAAGAUCCUAUAACAGAUUAUUAAGCAGUCUGUCUAUGAGCACUUAGAAAAUAAUCUGGUGAUAAGUAGGAUUUGUCCAGCGUGGAUUUGUCAAGAACAAGUCAUGCCAGACUAAUUUCUCCCUUUUUGAUAAGAGUCCCUGGUUUAUUAAGUCUUACGAAUACUGUGGACAUAGUGCAUCUUGAUUUCAGCAAAACCUUUGAGAAGAUCUCUUGCAAUAUCCUUGUUUAGAAGUUGGCAAAAUGUGGGCUAGAUGAUGUUACUGUUAGGGGCAUUCACAGCUGGUUGAACAACUGUACCCAGUAAGUACACAUUAUGGCUCCAAGUCAUGAUGGAGGUAUCAAGUAGAGUGCCAUGGGGCUUUUUCCUGUGCCCUGUGAUGUUCAACAUUUUAAUAAAAGACUGGGAGGAGGGAGUAGAGAGGACAGUCAUCAAAUCUGCAGAUUACAUGAAGCUAGGGAAGAGAGCUAACACCUUAGAAGAUAGAACUGAGAUUCAGUCCAGUCUGGAUAGGCUCAAGUAUUGGGCCAAAACCUUAGUCCAUCAUAUGGGUAAAAAAAAUCAAAUGCACAAGUACAGGAUGGAGAAAACCUGACUUGGCAAUAGGACAUCUGAAAGGGACCUAGAUGUCUUAGUGGACAACAGGUUGAACAUGAGCCAGCAGUGUGAUGCAGCUGCUAACAAUUGUAGUGCAGUCUUAGGCUGCAUUAACAGAAGUAUAGUGCCUAGAUGACGAGAAGCAAUAGUUCCUCUAUAUUCUGUGCCAACUGGAAUGGGUUGAAAAGAGACCAGUAAAGAUGAUGAGAAUCUGGAAACCCAGGCCUGUGGGGAGCUUGGUAUAUUUAGCCUGGAGAAGAGAAGAUUAGAGGGAGCAGGGUUGAUAGCUGUCUUCACAUAUCUGAAGGGCUAUCCAGAGAACAGUGGAUUUGUUCUGGGGAGGAGCCACCAUUGUGUGAAUGGGUUCAAAGAACUCAGGCCACCAAUUGAAAGGGCUGCUGAAGCUUGCAGGGGGGCAUGGCUCAGGCUCUAAAGGAGCUGAGAACAAAUUCCCUCCUCCUAUGCCCAACUCCAGAGAGUCCCGAGCGAACUCUCUGCUUGUUAUUUCAGGCAGUGCUUGCUGCCUGACAGCAUGUAUUUCCCUUUGCUUCCCUCCAGAGAGGGAGAGAAAGGGAAAUGUGUCCUAUCAGGUAGCCAGUGCUGCCUGAAAUGACAAGCUGAGAGCUCGCUCAGGCUUCUCUGGAUCCCGAGCCACGCCCCCAUGCACGUAACAUCACACGCAUGGGGCAUAACUGGAGGGGGCCACCGAGCGAGGCCAGACCCAGGCUGCCGUUUGGCUGGCUCCACAACUGAUUUGUUCUCUGUUUUUCCUGAGGGCAACGAGAACCAGUGGGUUGAAAUUACAGGGAAGCAGAUUUCAGCUAGACAUUUGGAAGAAGGUCCUAAUUGUAAGCGCUGUCUGACAGUGGACAGUGCAUGAGGUAGAGCAGUGGACAGUGGUCUGCCUCAUGCAGUGCUGGGCUCUCCUUUGCUGGAGGUUUUCAAACAGAAGCUGGACAGCCAUCUGUCAGAGAUGCUGUAGCCCUGCACUAAACAGGAGGCUGGAAUAGAAGACCUCCAGUGCUAUGAUAUUAAACGGUAGCAUACAGCCUAUGCUAUGCAGGCAAGCAGGUAUGUGCAAAAUGUGUGACUAGGACGCAUACUAGCAUAGUCACUCACAGGGCAAAGAAAAAUUAGUCAAUAUAAAUCCAGAUUACUUAAGCCAACUCAUCAUGCUAUCUGCUGCAAAAGAAGGUGGAUUUCUGUUUACUACAAGCCACCUACAAGAAGGUGGAUUUCUGUUUACUACAAGCUUGUUUACUACAAGCUCGGGGUGGUUUUGUAAACCACCCUGAGCCAAUUUUGGAAGGGCGGUAUAAAAAUUGAAUACAGUAAAUAAAAAAUAAAGUAUCUCCUGCAGGGAAAUGACCUCCCUGCAUCCAAUAUUUAUUUAUUUAUCUAUCGUAGUUAUGUACCACCACCCGCUCUCUUUCAGUUUACAUACAAUUUAAAAUACAGCAGAAGUUAAUAACAAAUAAAAACUGUUUUAACUAAAAGCCUGUUUGAACACAUGUCUUAAAGCAUUUUUUAAAAGACAGUCAUAGGAAGCUGCCUGACACCAAGUCAGACCAUUUGUCCAUCUAACUCAGUAUUGCCAUGCCUACAGUCACACACCGGCUUUUCCAAGUUGCAAGCAGGAGACUCUCUCAGCCCUGUCUUGGAAAUGCCAAGCAGGGAAAUUGGACUCUCUGCCUGCAAGCAUGCAUGCUCUUCCCAGAGUGGCCCCAUCCCCUAAAGGAAAUAUCUUACAACAGUGCUCACACAUGUUGUUUCCCAUUCAAAUGCAGAGCAGGAUGGAUCCUGCUUAGCAAAAGGAACAAUUCAUGCUUGCUACCACAAGACCAGCUCCUGUAACCAGCUCUCCUCCCAGCUCUUAUUCUGAGGGAAAACACAUUCCAAAACCCCAGGGCAGCUAAAAAAAAAGCCCAAUUCAAAGUUGUCACCGAACUGUAAGUGGUGGCAACUAUAAACAGUGGCAACUAUAAAUGGCCUUUCCUGGUUAGCUCAAUAGGCAGAAUUCCUGAGAAAGAAAGUGCUCUCUAAAGAUGGCAGCCAGCUCAACCCUGACUGUGUAAGCAAAACUAACCAAAACUACAACAGAACAUUCCCUUAGUCCUCUCAUCAUAUGAAAUAAAAGGAAUGGUUUCCCUCAUAACCAAUUUGAGUGACUAAUGGCAAUUAAAAAUUAAAGUGUGAAGAAAAUGAUGUGACACAAUAUAUACUGCUUUCCUUUCCUUAAGAAUCUUAGGGCCACUUCAUAUCUAUAUAGCUACAAAUGUAUGUUUGCCAGUCUUAGCUCAUGAUAUACACAGCAAGAAACAGACGUUUGCAGAAUGCUCACUUAACAGUUUUACACGUAGCAAAAUGUGUGUAUCCACAACAAAUGGAUUGUGAAUGGCUCUUUUCUUUUAGGCUACAGUUUGCUCAUGCAUCAGGUGCUGCUGAAAACUGUGUCAAUCCCAGUCUGAAAGUGCUAAUCCAAAGUAGCACAGAUGGGGGUUUGAAGGAUCAGUAUGGAUGGCAUAGCCCAAGAAGGUGACAGGCAGUAACCUGCUAGUACUUUCUAGACAAUGUCUUCGCAGCUAAAUGUUUGUUUCUUUUGAAAUACCUUUCUCCUCACUUUCAUAUACUGUAUCAUAUUAUUAUUAUUAUUAUUAAUUACAUUUAUAUCCCGCUCUUCCUCCAAGGAGCCCAGAGCAGUGUACUACAUACUUAAGUUUCUCUUUCACAACAACCCUGUGAAGUAGGUUAGGCCGAGAGAGAAGUGACUGGCCCAGAGUCACCCAGCUAGUUUCAUGGCUGAAUGGGGAUUUGAACUUGGGUCUCCCCGGUCCUAGUCCAGCACUCUAACCACUACACCACAUUGGCUCUCAUUAGAAGUAGCUAGCUGCUAUUGUGCACCCUAGUUCCAGGAUAAUAAUACUGGCUGGCUGUACAUUUCCCCACCCUACUCCUGCUCCACACUUUUAAUAGCAAUCACCCUUCCUUUUCUUUGUGACCAUAGAAACAUGUGUGGUAAUGUGGGGAAUUUCCCUUCUUACAUUCCACAGGCUUUGCUCUAACUGUGGAGACUGUUGCUCCUCAGUUUAGGGGCCCACUUGGUUUUAUUUUUAUUUUUCCAGAUGAGUAUGAGUCAGAAUAACAAUCUCAGCUGAUUCUGGAUGAUAUUGUAAAGAUUUGGAAUUGCUAUUUGUUUGCAUGUUUGGCCACACUGUUUCAAAUGUUCCAGCAACUGUAUUAUUAUGUUGGUAUGAGGAAAAAAUAAUUUUACUGUAACACACCUGCCAACAUGUCCCUUUUUCCCAUUCAGGUGAAUGGGGAAAUAGGGACAUGUUGGCAGGUAUGCUGCAAGUGUUGGGGCCUAUUCCAGACAAGCCUUUUUAUUUGAAACAAUGCACAACCAUUUAAAACAUAAAGCAAACAAGAUAAAUGUAGACAUAUGUCUACUUUACAUGAAUUAAACUGAUGUUUUUGGUUGCAGUUUCUUUUAUUUUUAAGGACGGCUACUUCCUGAUACGUAAGAUAGAUGCACAAUGCAAUGCAGAUGGUUGUUAUGACGAGUCUAAAUCCUAGCAACUUUUCUAUGCUUCUAAUUUUGUAAGGGCAACUUGACAAAUAAGUGAUUGAUAAAGGGUGUGCUCCUGAGGCAGCAAUCUUAUACAUGCUUACCUGGAAAAGGUAAAGUGUGCCAUCGAGUUGGUGUUGACUCCUGGCAACCACAGAGUCCUGUGGUUGUCUUUGGUAGAAUACAGGAGGGGUUUACCAUGGCCUCCUCUCGUACAGUAUGAGAUGAUGCCUUUCAGCGUCUUCCUGUAUCGCUGCUGCCCGAUAUACAAAGGUCUAUUUUCACUCAUAGGGACUUCUGCACAGACAUGCACAGGAUCUGGCUGUAUGCCCAUUUACGGGGGGGUGGAGAAUCCCACUGAGAUCAGUUUUACUUUUUUCCAAAUAAAUAAAUUUAGGAUUGGAGUGUUAGUGAAGCAAAUAUGAGAUCAUAUUGAAUGAAGCUGCAGCUGCUUCUGUAGUUCAAGGGCAACAGCUUCACUAUUAAUGGUCAGACUAAAUACAGCUGCAUACAUCACCCUCUGAAAAUCACACAACUGUCUAUUUUGCUUCAUGUAUUUAUUUGUAUGUAGAAGAUGUUGUGUCUUUCAAACACAUAUACACAUGGAAAAAUAAAUACAAUGCUGACAUCCAGACUAAUUAAGUGAUGCUGUAUGUGAGCUCCAGGGAAGGGGUAAUGCUCAUCAAUAUCUCCAUCCUGAAGCCAACUGUGACUCCCCCCAAAAAUAAUGUCUCUGGGGGUUGUGCAGCCCUCAGAUAUGUAUUUUCAGGAGUCAAAGUUGGCUUCAGAGGGAAGGGAAGAUGAAUAAAAAUCACCUGCAUUUGCUCCACACAUGUUUUGUUUGUCUGGAUGCUGACUAAUAUGAUUUCUAUAUGUAAUGGCUUUUCUCCUACAUUCAUGCAAGUAAAAUACUAUAAUGUGCAAAACAGUCCAAACAGCAGUAAAUGGACAAGAAAUCUUGGUCACUAGCUGUUCCCAAGCUUAUGUUUACUAUUAAUGUGGAGACAUGCAUUUCCUCAAACUGGUAAGUUAACAUGGGCAUAAGUGAACGCAGUGCAAAAGCUUGUUUUCGGUACUGUGUGAAACAGCCUGAAGUAAAAGCCUUUUGUAAGUUAAGGAUUCAAGUCUGCCUUAUGUCUACAUAUUUACUUCCUAUUAUUAUAAAAUAUAUUAUUUUGCAUAAUAUUUACUACAUUUAUUUAAAAGUAUUAAAUCAACAACAAAAAGGUACAUGUUGCCUGCUUUAUGUAUGCAGCAGAGUUGGAAAUGAAGUGGUAGAAUUUUGAGGUGAUAGAAUUGCCCCUACCACUUUAGAUUGCCAUGAUGAGGUUGCCUGUUUGCAUACUCCCCUGAAUUAAAAAAAAAAUGCAACUGAUAAAUUGAACAGCAAGGAACAGGCAGCGAUACAGUCUUUCCUCCUGUUGUACUCGUUCUUUACUUGCUGGAAGCACUGUUUUGUUUGUUUGCUCUAUAAUACAGGAAACAAAUUGAAUUCUCCACCUGCUGCCUAUAUGAUACAGUCCACUCAACUACCUCAUUCGGUUACAUGCUUAGACAAGGCCAUAAGCACAUGUGACUAAUGUAAGUUCUUCAAAUGUUUUACUUUAGAGCUGCAUCCAGAUCAAUGCUCUUGACACAUUUAAUUUAACGUUUGUUGCUUACGAUUGCAGUCUAAUUUUUGUACACUUCCUAUAGCAUGCACUUUUUUCUCCAGGAACUGAAAACUCAGCAUUUGUAUUUUUGUUGUUAAUACAUGCUGAAUUUGUAUUAGGGCAUUUAUGCAACACUAUACACCCUGAUCAAUGUGGUACUUGAAAUUUGAGAUGAGAUGGUGAAGUACCAAGGUUCAGCUUGUGAUUAAAAAGACAUUAAGUAAAGCUAAACAUUUGUAAAUAAAGGCUUGUAAGAUGAUGCAAUUUUGCAUGAUGCAAAUUUACCAUGAAAAAAAUCAUUGCUACUUGCUAAAUGUAACCUAUAAGAAAUCACCCUGCUUGACUUAUUGCAACAUGAAAUAUGUUGAAUGCACUCUUCAGUUAUGUUUCACAGACAGUUAACAUUUGCUGUUUUACUGUUUGUGAAACUUUUAGUUUAGGGUUGCAACAAAGGUAUUUCCUGUAUGUCAUCAAAUAUAUUUCAUGUUAUUUUUCUUGUUUUUGUUUUACUCUAGCCUCACUGAUUAUCAGAUGCGACCAUGGGAGACUUGUUAAAACCACUCAAUAGCCAAUGAAUACUUUGUGUGUUUCUCUAAAGUAUAUGCAUAUGCUAGUUCUACAUCUUGCCAUAGGAUUGUUUAAAUUGGCCCUAAGUCUCCAGACAUAUCUGCUGUCACCUGCAGAGGCUAAGGUGUGGUCAUGGCUUCCAUGUCAAGUAGGUGGGCUGAUAAACAAAGAGCCCCCCUAAACACAGAUAUAUAUUCUAUAUUUUAUACCUUUAUCUAUGUUUGUUAAUACAUUUAUAUUUAGGAUUAAAAUUAUCUGGAA